GAUGCGGGCGGGCAUCUCUGCCGAAAACACCUACAGCGCCCGCUCCCUCGGUUCUUCGAGCAGUGAUCCCUCCGCGGCCAACCUCCCCAGGGAAACCGGCGAUUCGCGGUUCGGAUAGCGACCUUCGCCCGCAGGUUCCUGCUCUGCCUUCAGACCUCGGCUUCAGUGGCACCUGCUCAGCGAGGCCUCGUCUCACCAAGCCAUCCGAAUUAACUACCCACUCACUCGCCAUCACAUCACCCCGAUUUAAUGCGCAGCGGGGCACUGACUUUACACUCGUGUGUCUUCUGUGUUUAUUUAUGCCGCCACGAAAACCCGGAACGGCGGAGCCACCGAGCGGCGGAGCGGCGCCGCCCCUCGCGGCACCUCCCUGGCAGCCCUUGGAGGCCGCGUUGGGCAUGCUCAGUCGGCUGGGCCGCCUCAGCUCUCGGAGUAGGAAGCUCGGGCGCUCCGGCUGUAAGGAGCCGCGGCGGGGGGAAAAUGGAGCCCUUCACCAAUGGUGAGUGGGCGGCCGAGGCGCCGGGACCCGGGCUCUCCGGAGCCCUGAGGGUCGUGGGCAGUCGUGACACGCGGGGUCGGGCUGCAGCCGUCUCCCCUCACACCGCGGGCUUCCCACGAGGGCUGAGGGAGGCAGGGAGAGGGGAUCUGGGGGAGGCAGGGAGGUUCGGGGGGCGGGCGGCGGCCAGUGCGGGACCCGGGGCUGGCUUGAAGGUCAGCGCCGCCGCCGCUCGCCCGGGGUGCGGCCGGUGGGCAAACAGCAAAGUUUGGGCUGCUGUGCGCAGAGGAGUGGGCAGUGGGAAAGUUGGCAGCUCAGGUUUGCCCCCGGAGGAGGCGGUGUCGGGCCGACUCUCCUGUAGGAGCGUUAAGUUGUGGCAGCUGCCGAGCCCAACUUUUGUGGGGCGCCAGGAGCUGUCCCCCUGCCCUUCAGUGAGCUGCCGGCGUGACUUUUCCUAAUAGGGCGGGGUGGGGGUGGGAGGCUUGGCAGGUUAAUGUUGUGGAAGGAAGGGAAACUUCAGGAAAGGCUUGCUCACCUCGCUCGGGGCCGCGGAGGUGCCUGGCCGCAGUGCCACCCUCCUGACCCUGCCGAGGCACUCGGCAGGGCCACCACGCAUCCCCUCACUGGCUGCAGAUCACAUCAGUUUUUCAGUCAAAGACUUGUUAAUGUCAAGGGUCCAUCACGGUGGUGAUACCACUGUGUGACAGGAGGCGAGAGUCAACGCAGGGAGCCUGCACCCUGCAAACAGCCAUAGCCCUUCACUGAACGGGGAGCAUAAAUCCCACCCUAGUUAGAACCAUGGCUUUUGUGUGGACCAGAAGUGCCAGAGCCACAAUAUAGGGGUGAGAUGUCUUACCGUUUUGCGGUGUUGAGUGUGUGGAUUCCCUUUUAAGAUAGAAAGUAGGAAAACUGCCAGUAAGGGAGACGACUCACUAAAAGAGGAUUCACUCUCUGGUUGACAUGUUUUCCUGAGUGUGGUUGGUUACUUCAGGUACAGUAUCACAUUAAUAGGGGCCACAGUCUAUAUCCCUGUUUAGUUUGUUAGUUACCACUCAAGAGCAGACAGAUAUUGUCCACUGUAUCCCAAAUCUCACCCAGACUUUGUUGUGUGCUGUGCUUUAUUCAUGGGGCUGCGAACUACUGAUUAUGUUAUCCCUUCUCCUAAUGUAGAAUGCUUUAUUCUACUGCCAUCUUUCUGUCUGCACUGUUUAAUUAGGCUUACUGAUAACAACUUUAAUUCUGAAUUUUCUUUCUCAUUCAGGUUCUAUUUGUAAUUACUAAGACUUAAAGAAUAGUCUGGUGAAGUUACUCGAAGAAUUAAGGAAGGUUUGAGCUAAAAUGAACUAGAGACCUACAUCUAGUACUUUAGUGUAAAAUAUGUUUAAUACAAGUCGUUAAGUCCUUGUAAGUGACUAUUCCAAUGUUUAUUCUUUGUUUUUGGUAGAAUGCUUGGAGUUACCAUGUUUUUAAAUGUGAAAUUUCAUCUAAAUAAAAAAAAAAAAAUCUCUGUGAUGAGGCUGACUCACCCAUUUGGUCAAGAUUAGUGCUAGCUGAUUUGCUGAACCUUUGCCUACAGAAUUAAAGUACUUUCUCAAGUUUU
rnacentral:sRNA from 1 species